rnacentral:lncRNA from 1 species
UGGGUUGUUGGUAAGAAUAUAUCCAUGUUUUAAUGUUUUUCUGACUACAGUCUAUUGUUGUAAAAUCUGUCAUUAAGCUUCAGCAGUUCACUCUUGCAAGAUUCUUUCAAGUGCGGUCGCCUGAGAUUACCCCAUUGGCUUUGACUAAGACUUCCAAUUAAUUGUUAGGUUGCUUAUCCUGAAGUUCAUGAUCCUGCAUGCGAGCAAAGGAUGUGAUAAGCGCAGUUUUGUCUCUGUAGUUUUGUCUCUAUAGUUUUGUAGACUUCAUUCAUCAUGACGAUUUUAUGGAGUCUGAACAAUGUGUAGCUGCAAUGGAGGUUCCAGGAAGACUUCAAGAUGCUAGGCAUCAACCAUUUUGAGGUCGUUUUAGCAAGACAUGAUGUUUCAGUGCAUAUAGUGCAGUGUAACAUAUCAAGUCAGUUUGUUUCUGUAAUUAUACGGCCUUGUCCAUAUGUUUUACCCCAACCAUCAGUAUUUUGCAUGAUGCCCUAGGUAAUUUGUGUUCAGAAAAUUUACAUUGUGUAUCUGCAUACUUGGCUGGCAAUAUCAUUACCUGACAGCCUUCGGACACAUUCCUAUAGAAUCAUAAUUCUCAAAAAAGAAACCCUAUAACCUUAAGGAGCUAUUUCAUUCCUCAAAAGUAUACUUUUGUUGCAGGGCCAGUAUACUGGAAAUCAGGGGCAGAGCUCGGCCACCAGCUCCAUCUACUCGCACGAACAACAAAUUUAACAAAUUUUGCACACAUGUGUGCAACUGUAUUUGCUUUCGUACCAAUAACUGGACAGAUAAUAUUAUUCACCUUGAUUUCACCGACAAUUGCAGCAUAUGACGCCAAUAUAAAUUGUCCUGCCAGUUCUUUAACAAAAUUCGGAGUCAGGUUCCAAAACAAUUAUCUGAAACUUACCUUCUCUGACCAUCCUCACCUUAACUUUACAUUGCACCCGCCUUGCGAGCAGGAGAGGUUACACAGCUCCGUGUCGUAAUUUUGCCUCACAAGCGUUUUGUUUCUAUGGUGGAUGUGGCAUCCACUCCACUGUAAUUUUACCUCAGAAAACAUUUGUUUCUCGCGAUGGUUGUGGUGUGGUGUAAUUUUACCUCAGAAAGCUUUUGUCUUUUGUCUCUUACGGUGGUUGUGGCGUGCUGUUUGUGGCUCGUACAGGGUGGCUGGGGUGAGGAAUAAAAAUUCCUCACCCAGGGUGGCGAAUAGCGCGACCCUAUAUAUAUAUAUAUAUAUAUAUAUAUAUAUAUAUAUAUAUAUAUAUAUAUAUAUAUAUGUCUGUGUGUGUGUGUGUGUGUGAGGGAGGGGGCACCACACACCCCACGACAAUCCCCAAGCCGUGUGCGGCGCCCCACUCCCUAGUUUCAUCCCCCGUCAAGUUUUUCCGCAGUGCACGGCAAAGCCCUGCGGGAACAAGUUCGCCAUCACCGUCAUCACGCCGUCGUGCUGAUGGAACUCAUCUACUACUUCGCCCCGCUCGCAGGAUCAAGGUGAUGAGGACAUCAUCGAGCUAAACAUGUACUGAACGCGGACGUGCCAUACAUUUUGUGCUUGAUCGGGACAGAUCGUGAAGGUGUAUGAUGACAUCAACUGCAUUGAUAAACGAUUCCGCUUAGUGAUCUACAAGGGUAUGUACAUGCUCUUCCCCUCUCAUAGCUAUACAUCUCAAUGUAAAGAUCUUGCGUGUGCUCAAGUGGAGAGGUCCGUGCAAUUCAGAAAUCAAAGUCACAAAAUCAGUACGGUAUGCCCACUUCUCCUAUCCAUAUUUUCAUAACUAUGUUUCCUAAUUAUAUUUGUUAGGUUUUCUAAUUACUAGGGAAAAUAAAUUUUUUGUAGGCUGAAGAUCUUGGCUAUGACCCGCGGAGAGAUGAAAUAUUUAUCAGAGCACAUGUCCGUAAAACUGGAGUUCCUACCGCACAAGCAGAGACGCUAAUUCUUAGUCAGACAUAUACAUCAUGUGUUAUUCUUUAGUACAGCCAUGCAUGUGACUGCAUAUCAAUUGAUCCCGAGUAUUAUUCUUGUUAACUUUUUUCCAUGAGAUGACACUGCUAUGUUUUGUUUGAUGGGUCAGGAAGACAUAAGUUCAGAAUGGGCACGAUAAUGUGAUACUAAAUCUUUGUAGCUGAACUGAAGCGUGCUUUCUUUUAAAGAUGAGCCACAAAAAAAAUACUUGACCAUUAUUUUUAGGAAAGCAUUUUUAGUUCAGUCCACAUAUUAGGAUUACACCUGACUCCUUUUUUUUUAGAGAAACAUAGUUGUUGUAGCUUCUGCAGCAUUUGUUUAGUUUCAGGAUUUUAACCAUCGCAAAAAACAACAUAUGGGAACCUCUAUUGUAUACCACACAAUGUUCCAUAGCACGCAUGAACCAGAACACAGGCAAUGUCCUGUAAGUUGACUUGUUUUCACCAAGUGCACUAUACUACAUAUAUGACUGCAAUCUCUGUGUUUUUUUGCCGAUUCAGUAACUUGGAAUGCAAUCACUGAAAUCACAGUAAAUACCUUACUCAUGUUGUCUUAGAAAAUACCUGAUUGCUCAUCAACAAAUUCAGACAUUUUUAUAGUAAGCCAUUUGUGAUAUGCUAGCUGCUAUGCUGACUUUGUUUUAUAUAUUCUAAUAAGGUUGCUUUUGUAACUUGAAUCUUUGCAUAAUUAUAGUCUUUUUUUAGAUAUUUUUUUCAAAAAGGGGGGACACCCCAGGCUCUGCAUCAGACCGAUGCAUACGGCCAUUUUUUAUAAAUAAAAUAGGUUCAACAAGGUCUUAAAGUCGUGAAAGAAAAUAAAGGCGAGCUCACAUAGAGCCUCAACGCCAAAACAAUAAAAGGCCAUAAAGCCACAACCGGCUGGCAUAAUAAAGAUAGGAAAACUAAUCGCCUAUCAUAUUACAUGACCGCCAUCCAAACCGGUUGAAAAUAUACCGCGCUACCAUCUCCCACCGGACAGAUCCAGUAACCAAACGCUCCCUGGCCUCCGUCGGAGUGAGUAAGGACCAUAUACGGAUCAAUGCCGUAGCAUUGAAUACAACCUGCAAAAAAUGAAUAGUAGUUGUUCUGUUAAAAGCCAAAUCAUUUCUGCAAUUCCAAAUUGCCCAUAACAACGCACAAACUCCUACACGAAUGUGUCUAGCUGUAUCGGACUCUAUCCCAUCCAGCCACGUUCCAAAUAACGGACCGACCGAGCUCGGAGGAGUAAUGUUAAAGGCAAUUUGCACGGUGCGCCACAAAAUUCUCGCAAACGGGCACUCAAACAAGAGAUACUUGCUUUAUUUUUCAGAUCCUUUAUUUAGUAGAUAAAAAGGCCUGACCUCUAGAAUUACAUGCUUUUGUAACUUGAAUCUUUGCAUCACUACGCAGGUCUGAGCUCUGGAAUUCCAUGUUUCAAUUGAAGCUUGUGCACAACAAGAGGGCUCAGAACGACAAGUGGUUCGCAGAAUACCUACCACGCAUUGGUAAUGGUACCGAGGAGACUAAUGAUGAUGGUGAAAUACUCCUACCUGCAAGGAUAUGCGUGCCAAAUAAGACGGAUAAUAAUGGCCUAGAUAGACUCAUUGACAAUAUCUAUGAAACAGGGAAAGCUUCCCCAAAAAGAUCCAAAACACAUCACGUUAAGAGCAAUUUUGUCCACAAGGAAUGACUCGGUAGACAGAAUCAACCUAAAAAUGAUUGAUCACUCCAAAGGAGAGGAGAUGGUGUCCCACAGCUUUGAUUCCAUAGAAGACGACCCCCAUAACUACUAUCCACCGGAGUUCCUAAACGCCCUCACCCCAAAUGGACUGCCUCCACAUAUGUUGAAGCUCAAAAUAAAUUGUCCAAUCAUACUACUUAGGAACAUCGACCCUGCUAAUGGACUCUGCAAUGGCACAAGGUUGGUCGUACGUGGAUUCCAAAAAAAUAAAAUUGAUGCAGAGAUAGUAGUAGGGCAGCACUCUAGAAUGCAAGUUUUCUUGCCUCGGAUACCAUUAUGCCCAUCUGACGAUGACAUGUUCCCGUUCAAUUUCAAGAGGACAUAGUUUCCAGUGAGGCUCAGUUUUGCAAUGACAAUAAACAAAUCACAAGGUCAGACAAUACCAAAUGUCGGCGUCUACCUGCGUGAAUCGGUUUUCUCACAUGGUCAACUAUAUGUUGCGCUUUCUAGAGAGACCGCGACAUCAAACAUAAAGGUAUUAACGGGAGCACAUGAUGAGAAAAAGGGGAAGAAUAAGAAUAUCAGUACAUGAGACACAAACACAAAAGGAGUACAAAAGGAAAAAGAAUCAGAAGAUUCGUACAGACGAGACAUACAAAAAGAAUAUUGUCUACAUAGAAGUCCUCACCAAAUAGGUAAUGCAACCUUUGAAUUUUUUGUUCCAAAUUUCAGUUGGUACUUCGUAGGUUUAUUUACGACAAGUUAUGCAUUUAAAUUUCAUAUUACAUUGCUAAUUUUCUAACCACAAAUUCAUUACUUGGAUUCUACAGAACAAUCCAACCGUCAACUUCGGAGUUAGAAUUCAUAAAUACUUGGUCGUCUUUAAGGAGCAUGUCUUCAUGUCCUCAACCACAAAGUCAUUCAUGAAUAUAUUUUUAUGAUGUGUCCAAUAACUCAUUCAGGGUUAUUGAAAACUUUGAACACUUUGGUGAUCUCCAUUAUGUGUAUACAAGCUACAUAUGCAAUUUACAGAAAAGUCUAUAGCCAAGGGGAAACUGAGACUUACCAGCCAAAAUAGAAACAUAUUUCUCACCUUGGAGUUGCUGCUGCUGCAUUGAAUUAUCUGAAAUAUCGCUUUCUCUAACACAACGAAGAAACCUGAAAUAUAUCUGACCCAUUUUGAAAAAUACAUAUCAAUUUAUAAGCUAUUUAGAUGAACAAAACAAGAAGACAAGCAGAUGAACUGAACACGUGCUACCAUGUGUGCCAUACACAUUGUUUACUAACUAAUCAAAAUAUGUAAAAAAAACUAACAACCAAAGCAUAUCUGAAUCUGCUAACUACCACUACAGCAACAACUAACCACGACUGGAGGGAGGAGAGGUUGAUAGGUUGAACGCGAAGUCAAGGGCACCAGCCGGCGCCUGCUCGACCCGCGGCUGCUCACCCACCAACAACCAGGGUUGGAGCCUGCGGGAGGAGGGGUGGGAGGGAACAGGAAGGAAGAGGGAGCCGCGCAAGGUCCCAUUGAUACGGCGGCGCGGGCGGACGACACCACAGUGCGGCCGCCGGAAGUGCUCUUCUUAAUGACCUCGUCCUCCGACAACGACGAAGAGACGCGAGGUGGCGGCGCUGGCCAUCAGUACGGACCGAGAAUGGUGAACGGGAAGGGGAUAAGUUCAUUUCUCUUAGAAACAAUUUUUUUGCUAACAGAGAGUUCGUGUCGUAUUUGUGUGUAUAGGUCAAUUCCUGCCUAGGCCAAGCUCAAACUAUGGGGAAAAAAUUACAAAUGAAAUAUAAUUUUUCAAAAAAAAUGUUCAUCUCCAAUAAAAAAGAUUCAAUUUCUAAAUAAUGUUGAAAAUGAUUCUAAAACAAUCUUUUUUUCUGAAAUAUGUACUCAAAAAUAAUAAUAAAACACCUUCUUAGAAAAAAUAUAUAUUAAAUAUUGAAGUUUUUUAGAUAAGAAAGAUUGACAAACUAUUUCAUGGACCAAUACUCUUUCAUCGGAUGAAUCUACGAAGCUAAAGUAGGUCCUGACUAACGACGUUAGGUGGCUUCUUCACGUACGAAUUUCAUGGUCCAAGAUAUUACAUUCGGUAUAAUCUUAUUUCUGAGGUUUGCCACAAUUGGAUAUAAGAAAUGCAUAAAGCCAUGUGGAGCAUGUUUUUUUGCCCGUUGCAACGCACGAACAUUUUUACUAGUAUAUAUAUCCUUUGAAACGACAACACUUUUACAAUUGUUUUGCACAUGUACAAUCAUUUAAGCUGACAGUUGCAACUUUAUAGGUACUUGGAAGUUGGAGGAACAAAUUUGAAUCCCGACCAAAGCAUAAAGCGGUGAAAAAAUAUAUCCAACAAGUAAAAAUAUGUGUUUCUAUAGCCCUAAAAUGUGUGGACCCUGAUAUGAAGAAAAGAACUACCGUGAUGUAUAUAAUGGAGGUGCUUAAUGAAGCAGACCAGGUAUGGUAAGCAUUGCAUAUGAUGUCCUGAAUUAAUAUUCCUUCCAUUAUAAAAUAGAAGGCGUAUAAGUUUUCUCGUAAGUCAAUACUAUGGCUAGACACGAGCCGAGCCGAGCUGAGCUUGAUCCGAGCCUGGCUUUGGCUCGCUCUGAAGCGGCUCGGCUCGGCUCGGCUCGCUCAGCCAACGAGCCUAGUUCAGGCGGCUCGGCUUGUUUUAGGUGUGGCUCGGCUCAGACCGAGCCUGCUCAUAAGCCAGCUGCCCAGAGCUUUUGUACUUAUGUAUAUCAGUAUAUACUCCACAGUCUUGAUUCUUUUGCAACAAUUAAACUCAUAUUUUGGAAAACAAACAAUUUAUAUUGCUAAAAAUGAAACAUCCAGCAAUCUAUUGUUUUAAGAAAUGGUCAUAGUAAUGAAAAAUAAGCUUUCUUCUAUGAGUUCUUCUACGAAAAUUGUAACAAUGUAACAGAUUAGAGAAAGAAUUGGGCAGCAUUUCUACUGUAUUUUGGACAGAACUUCCUUUGAUCUUUACACAGCAAAACAUCAAAUAUUGACAGCCAAACAAAGAAAUUUUGUAUAGCAUAACACAUCAAAACAACACACACACACAUGAGCUUGGACACUCAUCCUCUUCCACCUCCUCAUGAU